rnacentral:rRNA from 1 species
AACGAACGCUGGCGGCAGGCCUAACACAUGCAAGUCGAGCGAGGACUUCGGUCCUAGCGGCGGACGGGUGAGUAACGCGUGGGAACGUGCCCUUUGCUACGGAAUAGCCCUGGGAAACUGGGAGUAAUACCGUAUGUGCCCUUCGGGGGGAAGAUUUAUCGGCAAAGGAUCGGCCCGCGUUGGAUUAGGUAGUUGGUGGGGUAAUGGCCUACCAAGCCGACGAUCCAUAGCUGGUUUGAGAGGAUGAUCAGCCACACUGGGACUGAGACACGGCCCAGACUCCUACGGGAGGCAGCAGUGGGGAAUCUUAGACAAUGGGGGAAACCCUGAUCUAGCCAUGCCGCGUGAGCGAUGAGGGCCUUAGGGUUGUAAAGCUCUUUCAGUGGGGAAGAUAAUGACGGUACCCACAGAAGAAGCCCCGGCUAACUCCGUGCCAGCCGCCGCCGUAACAC